CACUCGAUUGCAGAGCUGAAAGGAAAGGAGCCAAAGUCAAGCAAGAAGUAAUAAAUGAUGGACCUGGGGAGGAGCACGUCUCUACGGAUUCUAUUGUCUUUGUCAACAGAGCAGAAAAGAGCCUGCAGUCAUCCCCAAAUCCUCCCACUCUAAAGGGAGUGUCAAGCAUCAUUGUGUUAACUUUCUGAAGCCACAGCCUCCUGGGUAGCUGCUAUCCUCAUUACACAAAAGAAGGGCCUGCUUCCUGAACCAGCUCAGUUUCAGUGCUGAAGAAUUAGGAAAGGAGCCAAAUGCUGAUGACUCAUACC